rnacentral:lncRNA from 1 species
CCCAGUUGGGUGUUACCCUUUAACCUCACCUCUGUUCCCUCAACCAGGUCAGAAGGUUGAAGUUUAUAUUUUAGUAAAACUAUAUUAUAUUACAUUAAUAUACUAUUUAAAGAGAUACUAUACUAUUCUACAUCUUACUUACUUAUCUAAUUUCUAACAAACUUGUGACACUCUGCUGAGUCUGAGACACAGUUGGACCUGAUUGGUCAUUGAACUUAAAUAACUUUCACUAGAAUCUAAUUAAGCAGUCCCUUCAGGUAAACAAUCUCCACACUAAAUUCUACAUGGGGGAAACAGAGGAGCAGAGAUAAAGAUUGUUUUCUUUUCUUCUCUCUGUGCUUUUCCAGAGAGACAGAAUUAUGUCUCUGUCCAGAAAAUAUGAAUGUCACAGGCGGUGGCUUCAGCAGCUCCUGCCCCACUGCCACACCAGUGUCCAGAUGUCCCCCACAGCCUGUCACGGUGACAGAACCAAUCUCUGGGUUGGUGUCCACCUGGGUGAACAUCUACCAGGCUGAACAGCCCGCCUGGCUGAUGGGCAGGACUCCUGGAUUGUGGGGUGCUAGGUGAGGAACCCCAGGGUGGGGGGAGAUUGGUGGGGGGACCCUUGGAUUGGCAGGUUCUGGGUGGUAGGCAUGACAACCCCAAUUUUGGGGGCGUAGGAUAGGGGGAACAUGAGAUUUGGAAGAAUGGGCUGUUUUGGUGAAGGGGGCUCAAGUUUGGAGGGAGUGAUGAUUUCGGGUACCCCGAAGUUUGAAGGUGGUGGUGAAGCACAAGUGUUUGAAGGGGGUACCAAUUUUGGGACACACUCCAGGAUUGGGGUAUUCUCGGCAUGGAUUGAUGUGGGAGGACCCCUGGACUGGGAGGGAUGCAUAGGGGAAGUCCCAGUUUGGGGGGUAAGCCCUAAAUUGGGGGGGAUUGUAGGUGGGGGAGGCCCAACUUUGGGGUCAGGGGAUACCCUUGAAUUGGGGGAAUUUAGGGAGCGGACCCCAGUUUGUGGGGAUCAAUGCUGGGGGUUGACAGAGGAUGCUCAUUUUAUGUUAAUCACAGGGGGCAGCCCCCCAUUUUACCCCAUCUCAUAUUGAGUCUGAGGGAUUGGGGGUUGUUCUGUUCUCCUGACCCCCCUCUUCCCCAGAUGAUUUUGGGGGUGUGCUGGGCCAGGGCGGAGGUUGAAUGCUCGAGUGCAGAGGAGGCGCUGGCAGCUGCAGGGGCUGGGGCUGACAUCGUCCUGCUGGACAACCUGGCCCCACAGGUGAGCCCCAAAAUCGGAGCAGGACCAACAGUGGUGAGACUGGACCCCAAAAAUGGGGGGUUGAAUUGAAAAAAUGGAAGAUAGACCAGGAAAAUGGGGGAGGAAACCCCUGGAAAGUGAGGGGUAACCACACAGAUCCAGGCUAUGCAGAGACCCGCUGGUGAGACCCCAAAAUUAAGGGUGUGACAACAAUGGGAGACUCUAAGGUGUAAUGCUGAACCAGUAAACUGGAGAGAUCUGCUGUAAAAUGUGGAGCAGCCUCAAAGAUAAGGGGGAGAACCCAAUCUUUGGGGGUCAAAGUGUUGGAAAACCCUUGUUUUGGGGUUUUUUUUUGGUGGGAGGAUUCCAGUUUUGGGUGGGUGGGGCAUGCCUGGAUUGGAGGGAUUGUGCAGGGAACUGCAAUUUUGGGCAUUUACAGAGGGUUUGCACCCUGGAUUAGAGGGUGAUAGAGGGAGAGAACUUUAAUUUUGUUGGCCAGUGGGUUGGAGAGCUGAAAUUUGGAGUUGUUCUGGGUGCUCAGAUCAUAAUUCUGGGGAUCAGUGUGUGGUGGGGAGCCCCCAUUGCCAGAUUUCGGGAGGUUUCUGGUUUAGGGGACUCCCAAUUUUGUGGUGAUAACUGUUGAUUUGGAGGGUUUAGGUGAGAA